GGCUUAACACAUGCAAGUCGAGCGGGGGAAGGUAGCUUGCUACCGGACCUAGCGGCGGACGGGUGAGUAAUGCUUAGGAAUCUGCCUAUUAGUGGGGGACAACAUCUCGAAAGGGAUGCUAAUACCGCAUACGUCCUACGGGAGAAAGCAGGGGAUCUUCGGACCUUGCGCUAAUAGAUGAGCCUAAGUCGGAUUAGCUAGUUGGUGGGGUAAAGGCCUACCAAGGCGACGAUCUGUAGCGGGUCUGAGAGGAUGAUCCGCCACACUGGGACUGAGACACGGCCCAGACUCCUACGGGAGGCAGCAGUGGGGAAUAUUGGACAAUGGGCGCAAGCCUGAUCCAGCCAUGCCGCGUGUGUGAAGAAGGCCUUAUGGUUGUAAAGCACUUUAAGCGAGGAGGAGGCUACUUUAGAUAAUACCUAGAGAUAGUGGACGUUACUCGCAGAAUAAGCACCGGCUAACUCUGUGCCAGCAGCCGCGGUAAUACAGAGGGUGCAAGCGUUAAUCGGAUUUACUGGGCGUAAAGCGCGCGUAGGCGGCUAAUUAAGUCAAAUGUGAAAUCCCCGAGCUUAACUUGGGAAUUGCAUUCGAUACUGGUUAGCUAGAGUGUGGGAGAGGAUGGUAGAAUUCCAGGUGUAGCGGUGAAAUGCGUAGAGAUCUGGAGGAAUACCGAUGGCGAAGGCAGCCAUCUGGCCUAACACUGACGCUGAGGUGCGAAAGCAUGGGGAGCAAACAGGAUUAGAUACCCUGGUAGUCCAUGCCGUAAACGAUGUCUACUAGCCGUUGGGGCCUUUGAGGCUUUAGUGGCGCAGCUAACGCGAUAAGUAGACCGCCUGGGGAGUACGGUCGCAAGACUAAAACUCAAA
rnacentral:rRNA from 1 species